GAUGAACGCUGGCGGCGUGCCUAAUACAUGCAAGUCGAGCGAACAGACGAGGAGCUUGCUCCUCUGACGUUAGCGGCGGACGGGUGAGUAACACGUGGAUAACCUACCUAUAAGACUGGGAUAACUUCGGGAAACCGGAGCUAAUACCGGAUAAUAUAUUGAACCGCAUGGUUCAAUAGUGAAAGACGGUUUUGCUGUCACUUAUAGAUGGAUCCGCGCCGCAUUAGCUAGUUGGUAAGGUAACGGCUUACCAAGGCGACGAUGCGUAGCCGACCUGAGAGGGUGAUCGGCCACCCUGGACCUGAGACACGGUCCAGACUCCUACGGGAGGCAGCAGUAGGGAAUGUUCCGCAAUGGGCGGAAGCCUGACGGAGCAACGCCGCGUGAGUGAUGAAGGUCUUCGGAUCGUAAAACUCUGUUAUUAGGGAAGAACAAAUGUGUAAGUAACUAUGCACGUCUUGACGGUACCUAAUCAGAAAGCCACGGCUAACUACGUG
rnacentral:rRNA from 1 species